GACGAACGCUGGCGGCGUGCUUAACACAUGCAAGUCGAACGGAAAGGCCCUGCUCUUGCGUGGUGCUCGAGAGGCGAACGGGUGAGUAACACGUGAGUAACCUGCCCUUGACUGUGGGAUAACUUCAGGAAACUGGGGCUAAUACCGGAUAGGAGCUCCUGCUGCAUGGUGGGGGUUGGAAAGUUUCGGCGGUUGGGGAUGGACUCGCGGCUUAUCAGCUUGUUGGUGGGGUAGUGGCGUCCCAAGGCUUUGACGGGUAGCCGGCCUGGGAGGGUGACCGGCCUCCUUGGGCCUGCGAUACGGCCCAGACUCCUACGGGCGGCAGCGGUGGGGAAUAUUGCACAGUGGGCGGAAGUCUGAUGUGGCAACGCCGCGUGCGGGAUGACGGCCUUCGGGUGGUAAACCGAUUUCGCCUGUGCCGAAGAGUGAGUGACGGUAAUGGGUCAAGAAGCACCGGCUAACUACGUG
rnacentral:rRNA from 1 species